rnacentral:rRNA from 1 species
UGCGGAGGGAUCAUUACCGAGUUUACAACUCCCAAACCCAAUGUGAACGUUACCAAACUGUUGCCUCGGCGGGAUCUCUGCCCCGGGUGCGUCGCAGCCCCGGACCAAGGCGCCCGCCGGAGGACCAACCAAAACUCUUUUUGUAUACCCCCUCGCGGGUUUUUUUUAUAAUCUGAGCCUUCUCGGCGCCUCUCGUAGGCGUUUCGAAAAUGAAUCAAAACUUUCAACAACGGAUCUCUUGGUUCUGGCAUCGAUGAAGAACGCAGCGAAAUGCGAUAAGUAAUGUGAAUUGCAGAAUUCAGUGAAUCAUCGAAUCUUUGAACGCACAUUGCGCCCGCCAGUAUUCUGGCGGGCAUGCCUGUCCGAGCGUCAUUUCAACCCUCGAACCCCUCCGGGGGGUCGGCGUUGGGGAUCGGCCCUGCCUUUUGGCGGUGGCCGUCUCCGAAAUACAGUGGCGGUCUCGCCGCAGCCUCUCCUGCGCAGUAGUUUGCACACUCGCAUCGGGAGCGCGGCGCGUCCACAGCCGUUAAACACCCAACUUCUGAAAU